rnacentral:lncRNA from 1 species
AUAAGAUGUAAGGAUAUAUUCUCAAAGUUAUUUCUAGUUUUAACGAUGUACUUUUACAAAUUAAAUUGCAGAAGCAAUAGGGAAACAUUCUUGUGCACAAAAAAUAGACCCCCCCAUAAAACAAUUGCUUAGAAUUUGCUGCAAAACAAACAGAUGAGAAUACACAUUAGAAUAGUAUAUAUAGCAGGUCAAUUUAACAAGUCUUGAAUUGAAAGUUUGUCUAUUAUGAUAUUGAAAGCAGCAUAUAUGAGUGUUAGUGUCUGAGUGCCUUUUAAGAGCACAAGUACCUAAGAGUGCUUGCAAAAGGAUGAAUAGCAGAAGAAUAUUUCCUUUUUGCAGCCUUUUUCUUUUCAGCCGUAACAUCCAUGCGUAGUUUCCCCUUUAUAUACUGGUAGCUAACUUUCAUUCUUUUAUCUAGUUAGUCAUAUACUAAGUAGUAUUUAAGAUGAUGGUUUGGCGAUCGAACAAAUAAGAGAUGAAACAGAGUUCCGUCCAGCCAAUAACUUCACUUAAUCAAUUGUUCUGUCUUAUCUUCAAUCUUGUAAAUUCUUCAUAUCCGAAGCGCAGGAAGGAUCUGACUAGAAAGUCGUCUUGCUGAUGCGAUAGUCCUCUGGGUAUGGCCACAUCCGUCUCGACAAUAGGACAGGGAAAGAAAAUCCAUAGACGAGACCAACCGGGAUAAGUGUGGAAAUCGAUAGUGUACUCGAUGAUCAAAGGACCUAUCAAUUUGCAUUAACUUCCUGUAGCUAGUAGGGGGAACUUUAAUGUAAUUGCGGAUCCAUUAAAAAAAACUUGG